rnacentral:rRNA from 1 species
UAUCUGAAAGACUCUCGGCAACGGAUAUCUCGGCUCUUGCAUCGAUGAAGAACGUAGCGAAAUGCGAUACUUGGUGUGAAUUGCAGAAUCCCGUGAACCAUCGAGUCUUUGAACGCAAGUUGCGCCCGAAGCCAUUAGGCUGAGGGCACGCCUGCCUGGGUGUUGCAC